rnacentral:lncRNA from 1 species
CGACCAUAGCUCCCUUCCUCAUCAUCACCAGAACCAGAACGGUUCCUGCGCUGCUCAUUAUCAUCAUCAUCAUCGUCAUUGCGACGACCAUAGCUAGGCUUCCUGUAACUCCCCUCUUCCUGUUCCUCAGACCUUCCAUAGCUAGGCUUCCUGUAACUCCCUUCCUCCUGAUCCUCAGAUCUUCCAUAGCUAGGCUUAAUGUAACUCUCCACCUGUUCCUCAGACCCUCCAUAACUUGGUUUCCUGUAACUACCUUCCUCCUGAUCCUCAGAUCUCCCAUAGCUAGGCUUCCUGUAACCUUCCUCUUGAUCCUCAGAUCUCCCAUAGCUAGGCUUCCUGUAACCUUCCUCUUGUUCCUCAGAUCUUCCAUAGCUAGGCUUCCUGUAGCCUUCCUCUUGAUCCUCAGAUCUUCCAUAGCUAGGCUUCCUGUAACUUCCUUCUUCCUGAUCCUCAGAUCUUCCAUAGCUAGGUUUCUUGUAACCUUCCUCUUGUUCCUCAGACCUUCCAUAGCUAGGCUUCCUGUAACCUUCUUCUUGUUCCUCAGACCUACCAUAGCUAGGCUUACGCUCAUACUCAGACUCUGAUCUGCCACCAUAUCCAGAUCCAAGACCCGAUUCAGGUCUCCUCCCAUACUCAACCUCAGUUCUUCCACCACCAGAUCCAUACUCCGAUUGAUUCUCCGUUCUACCACCAUAACUCUGCUCAGGUCUCCGACCAUACUCCGUCUCAGUUUCACCACCAUAUCCAGAUUCAGGCCUCCUACCAUACUCACUCUCCGUCUGACCACCAUAACCAGAUCCAGAUCCAUAACCAGGAUUCGGCCUCUCACCUUGAACAUGACCGCCACCACCUGAAUCGGGUCGAAAUGCGG